CAGUCGCCGCGGUAAUACGAAGGGGGCUAGCGUUGCUCGGAAUGACUGGGCGUAAAGGGCGCGUAGGCGGUUUGUUUAGUUAGGCGUGAAAUUCCUGGGCUCAACCUGGGGACUGCGUUUAAUACAGGCAGACUAGAGUGUGAAAGAGGGUUGUGGAAUUCCCAGUGUAGAGGUGAAAUUCGUAGAUAUUGGGAAGAACACCGGUGGCGAAGGCGGCAACCUGGUUCAUGACUGACGCUGAGGCGCGAAAGCGUGGGGAGCAAACAGGAUUAGAUACCCCCGUAGUCCCUGUCUCUUAUAC
rnacentral:rRNA from 1 species